rnacentral:rRNA from 1 species
UACGAAGGGUGCAAGCGUUACUCGGAAUUACUGGGCGUAAAGAGCGUGUAGGCGGCUUGGUAGGUCCGCUGUGAAAACUCGAGGCUCAACCUCGAGAUGUCGGCGGAAACCACUUGGCUAGAGUCCGGAAGAGGAGAGUGGAAUUCCCGGUGUAGCGGUGAAAUGCGCAGAUAUCGGGAAGAACACCUAUGGCGAAGGCAGCUCUCUGGGACGGUACUGACGCUGAGACGCGAAAGCGUGGGGAGCGAACAGG